rnacentral:ribozyme from 14 species
UGAGUUAUCAUUUUUCACUUCAUGUUAUAUUAAACAUAAGAGAAAAAAAAAAAACUUCAAAAGCAAGUUGCACUGGCUCUGUCUGUAUGUGCAUGAGUAGCACACUACGUGUUGCAUCAGAGACAAGAUGAUUGCUACACAAUAUCGUGAUCCAACAUGAUGGGCCACAACAACACUGCGAAGAUUAGAGAAGUGGGCAACGGAGCCGCAUCGCGAUUCAAAAUGCAAGGCAGCAAAAGCAAGAGCAAGCACACAAUGGCGUGUGG